UACAGAGGUCUCAAGCGUUGUUCGGAUUCAUUGGGCGUAAAGGGCGCGUAGGCUGCGGGGCAAGUCGGGUGUGAAAUCUCAGAGCUCAACUCUGAAACUGCACUCGAUACUGCUUUGCUCGAGGACUGGAGAGGAGAUUGGAAUUCACGGUGUAGCAGUGAAAUGCGUAGAUAUCGUGAGGAAGACCGGUGGCGAAGGCGGCAUCCUGGACCAUUACUGACGCUGAGGCGCGAAAGCUAGGGGAGCAAACGGG
rnacentral:rRNA from 1 species